GCUAACGCCAACUCAAACUAUUUCUGAAAAGAGUUGCCGGGGACAAAGUGGAGCCGUGGGUAGGCCUCAUUGAGCUGGGUCUCUGAAGCAGGUGAGAUGCAAGAUAAAGCAAUCGCUUUGCAGCCACCUUUGACGCAGGAUUCGCCAUGUACCCAGCAGUGUCCUAGACCGAGAGCUUAAGGAAGUUCCGAAUUGAGACCCCAGGGCAAUCCCUUGAAUUAGAGCCCAUCCGGCAAGCUCAUGGCAGAGACAGCAUGGAGUCUGGAGCUUCUGAUUCUGGAGGAACUUCUAACAAGGUCUUGUUCUCACUGUUGACUCCAUGUGAACAUUUCCUGUUACCUAUAUGCUCUUUAACCCCUAAUUUCUCUUUUCCCUGUCCCAGCCCCAGCCUGCAGCAAGUAGCACUCUCAGAGGCUGGCAGUAUAGACGGGGCUGUUGAGGGGUUCUGUGCUGUGAUCCCACAGGCAGCAAAUCCAGCUCCUCCACCCCCUACCCCCCAACACAUACUUCCCAAGAGCCUGCUCUGCGCUGAGCCCAGCCCUGGGUGCUGGGGAGACAUCAGUGCAUGGUGAAUCCUGGUGCUGACCCUCAAGGAGCAGAUCGAAGGAAGGGGAUCAGAAAGUGAAGAAGUAAUGCUAGAAUAAGGCUGCCUUGGUAUUGAUAAAAUCAGGAGGCCCUCAAAUGGCCUAACCCGAAGGUUCUGCAGUCCAUGGGGUCGCAAAGAAUCGGACUCGACUGAACGACAACAGCCAAGGUUUCCACUCUGCUCCUGGAGACCAGGUCUCUUAGCCCUGUUAAACAGACCAGGUGUAGUUCUUGCUUUUCUCUCAGUUCCUUGCUGGCCCGAAGAUUUAUUCAAACAAGCUUACUGGAUCCUUCCCCUGGAGCCAGGGGCACUUCACCCUUUUGAUGCUACAAAGCCUGCUGCCCACAGCCACUGGGGGUUCACUCUGUUGCCUAGUGCAACCCCCUCAUGCUCCUGCCUGGUGCAGCUGUUUUUGGUUGGAAUUGUUGCACAUUCUGAAUUAUUGGGAUGUAACUAGAAAGCUUUUCUUUCCGAAGUUAGUUUAUUUAUUUGUCUAUGCUGGAUCUUUGUUACUACACUCGAGCUUUCUCUAGCUGCUGAGAGUAGGAUCUACUCUCUACUUGUGGCGGUGUCAGUAAUUGUGAUCCAUGGACUUAGUUGCUCCCCGAUGUGUG